rnacentral:ncRNA from 1 species
UUGCUACGCAAAUCAUAGAGAAUAGGGAAAUUGGUGAAAAUCCAAUACGUGCCCAACGCUGUAAUGACAUAUUAGUUUGUAAAUACUCAUUGCCAAUCAAAAUACACUCUGUAUAUCGAAUGGCACAGUACUAAAACCACUGGCGAUAGCGCUGGGAAGGUAUCAAACGUUAAUUUAUUGCUAAUAAAUUUUAUGUCUUAGUCAGAAGACCUGCCUAAUAAUAU